GUACUGAUGAGGAGUCCCAAUGACACUAGGACGAAACAACUGUCCAAUAC
rnacentral:hammerhead_ribozyme from 1 species